rnacentral:rRNA from 1 species
ACCCCUGAUGCCGCCUGCUUAACACAUGCAAGUCGAACGGAAAGGCUCCUGCUUGCACUGGUACUCGAGUGGCGAACGGGUGAGUAACACGUGGGUGAUCUGCCCCGCACUUCGGGAUAAGCCUGGGAAACUGGGUCUAAUACCGGAUAGGACCACUUCUUGGAGGUUGUGGUGGAAAGUUUUUUCGGUGUGGGAUGAGCUCGCGGCCUAUCAGCUUGUUGGUGGGGUAAUGGCCUACCAAGGCGUCGACGGGUAGCCGGCCUGAGAGGGUGUACGGCCACAUUGGGACUGAGAUACGGCCCAGACUCCUACGGGAGGCAGCAGUGGGGAAUAUUGCACAAUGGGCGCAAGCCUGAUGCAGCGACGCCGCGUGGGGGAUGACGGCCUUCGGGUUGUAAACUCCUUUCGCUAGGGACGAAGCGCUAUGGACCGGACCUUAAAAAAAAACCCCCGCUUAAUUCCUUGCCACCACCCCCGGAAUUCCUAAGGUGGCAACCUUGUCCCGAAUUUCUGGGCCUUAAAAACUUCUAAGGGGGUUGGCCCCGCCUUUGGGGUAACCCCGCACUUAACUUGCGGAAUUGCAGGCAAUCCGGGAUUACUUUGAUGGUGGAAGGGAAAAUUGAAUUCCCGGGGGUACGGUGGAAAUGCACAAUCCAGAAGAAACCGAUGGGCAAAGGCGUUCUGGGGCAAACUUGACUGA